ensembl:lncRNA
UAGGGCUGGACGAUAUGGCCAAAAUUUAUAUCACGAUAUAUUUCUUAAUUUCGGUCGAUACGAUAUAAUUCCGAUAUCGAUAUGAACACUAUAAAAAGCCUCGUAAAAACUGCCAAGAACGCCCACAACAGAUGUCAGUGUAUAUACAUUUAUGAAAAAUGAAUUUGCCAAGUCUGACACCUCAUUUAAAACCAUUUAAUAUUUUUUUGAAAAAAAAAAAAAACUUAUUUUUUGUAUUUAGCCUUCAUACAAACAAUAAAUGUGAAAUCACUGUCAAAAAAUCAUUUCAGUCUCACCUAAUUAAAAUUAAUAUCUUUAACUUCAAACUGUAGGCUAAUAUAUACUACCAGUCAAAAGCUUUUGAACAGUAAGAUUUUUAAUGUUUUUAAAGAAUUCUCUUCUGCUCACCAAGCCUGCAUUUAUUUGAUCCAAAAUACAGCAAGAAAAGUAACAUUUUGAAAUAUUUUUACUAUUUAAAAUAACUGUUUUAUAUUUGGAAAUAUUUUAAAAUGUAAUUUAUUCCUGUGAUUUCAAAGCUAUAUUUUUAGCAUCAUUACUCUGAUUACAUGAUCCUUCAGAAAUCAUUCUUAUAUUCUGAUUUGCUGCUCAAAAAUAAUUUGUUGAAAUCAGCUGAGUAGGUUUCUUGAUGAAUAGAAAGUUUAGAAGAACAUUUAUUUGAAAUAGAAAUAUUUUUAACAUUAUAAAUGUCUUUAUCAUCACUUUUGAUCAAUUUAAAGCAUCUCUGCUAAAUAAAAAUUUCUAUAAUUUCUUUCCAAAAAAAGAAAGAAAGAAAGAAAUGAUGCUGACUCAAAGCUUUUGAAUGGAAUAGUGUAAUCAAAUCAAAUGUAAUCAAAAUGUAAUGUUACAAAAGCUUUGUUUCAGAUAAAUGCUGAUCUUUGGAUCUUUCUAUUCAUCAAAGAAUCCUGAAAAAAAAGUACUCAACUCUCUUAAAUAUUGAUAAUCAGCAAAUCAGCAUAAUAGAAUGAUUUCUGAAGAUCAUGUCAAGACUGGAGUAAUGAUGCUGAAAAUUCAGCUUUGAUCACAGGAAUAAACUACAUUUUAAAAUAAAACAGUUAUUUUAAAUAGUAAAAAUAUUUCAAAAUUUAACUGUUUUUGCAGUACUUUGGAUAUAGAUUGAAACAAAUGUGCUUUAGUCAGUAUAAAGAGUAUGAAGAGUGCUCUUGAGUUGCUGCAGGAAAAAAAAAAGCAUGUUGCUGGAGCCGGGCUUAAAUGCAAACUGAUUGUCUGCCAGCAGGAGGCGCUGUGAGAGUGGUAGACCCAGCGGUUUCUCCAGUAACGGCUAUAAUCAAAGGAGCUGCGCUUAUGAACGCUUCUUUAUCAGAUAAAAUGAAAAUGCCAUCGAAACUUUUCUGAAAAACACCCGCGACGUGUUUUGAUUUUGAAACGUGCAGUGCUCAUAUUUAUUCAACGAAGUCAAACACCACAAAUAAAUCAAUGUAUGGGAAACACUGGUAUAUCGAAAUAUCGGAAAUGUGUUUAAAAACCAUAUCACCGUUAUUGAAAAAAAUUAUAUCGCGAUACAUAUUGAUAUUGAAUUAUUGUCCAGCCCUA